AUUGAACGCUGGCGGCAGGCCUAACACAUGCAAGUCGAGCGAGCGGCGGACGGGAGAGUAAUGUAUGGGGAUCUGCCCGAUAGAGAGGGAUAACUACCGGAAACGGUUACUAAUACCGCAUACUAUCGGCUGAACCCAAAUGGGAUGAGCUAGUGGGGGGGGUAAAGGCACACCAAGGCGACGAUCUCUACCUGGUCUGAGAGGAUGAUCAGCCACACUGGGACUGAGACACGGCCCAGACUCCUACGGGAGGCAGCAGUGGGGAAUAUUGGACAAUGGGCGCAAGCCUGAUCCAGCCAUGCCGCGUGUAUGAAGAAGGCCUUAGGGUUGUAAAGUACUUUCAGCGGGGAGGCGUUACCCGCAGAAGAAGCACCGGCUAACUCCGUGCCAGCAGCCGCGGUAAUAC
rnacentral:rRNA from 1 species